UGGGGAAUCUUGCACAAUGGGGGAAACCCUGAUGCAGCGACGCCGCGUGAGCGAUGAAGCCCUUCGGGGUGUAAAGCUCUUUCGGCAGGAACGAUAAUGACGGUACCUGAAGAAGAAGCUGCGGCUAACUACGUGCCAGCAGCCGCGGUAAUACGUAGGCAGCAAACGUUGUUCGGAGUUACUGGGCGUAAAGAGUGCGUAGGCGGUUUGCCAAGUUUGGUGUGAAAUCUCCUGGCUUAACUGGGAGGGUGCGCCGAAUACUGGCAGGCUUGAGUGUUGGAGAGGGGAGCGGAAUUCCUGGUGUAGCGGUGAAAUGCGUAGAUAUCAGGAGGAACACCGGUGGUGUAGACGGCUCCCUGGACAACCACUGACGCUGAGGCACGAAAGCGUGGGUAGCAAACAGG
rnacentral:rRNA from 1 species